rnacentral:pre_miRNA from 1 species
CAAAUACUCCCUCCGUCCGGAAAUACUUGUCAUCAAAAUGGAUAAAAGGAAAUGUAUCUAGACAUAUUUUAGUUUUAGAUACAUCUAUUUUUAUCCAUUUUGAUGACAAGUAUUUUCGGACGGAGGGAGUAGGAA